AGUGCAAAUUAUGAAUAAUGG
rnacentral:miRNA from 1 species